rnacentral:tRNA from 1 species
ACAGUGGUGGUUCAGUGGUAGAAUUCUCACCCUCCACGUGAGAGACGUGGGUUCUAGUCCUGGCCAGUGCA